GGGGCCGAUUAGGAUUCGACGCCGGUAACAAAACUCUAGGGGCAUGCCGAGCUGGCAGCAGACCUCGUAAAUCAGUUGCUGCACUUUAAUAGUUGCCAACGACGACAACUACGCUCUGGCUGCUUAAUGCGCCAGCAGUCGCUAGGGGAUGCCUGUAAACCCGAAACGACUGUCAGAUAGAACAGGAUCGCCGCCAAGUUCGCUGUAGACGUAACGGCUAAAACUUAUACAGCUCGCUCAAAGCACCCUGCCUGUCGGGCGGCAAUGAGCUAACUCAGUAGACCAGGCUAAGCAUGUAGUCCCGAAAGCGGAGAACUGGCGGACGGGGGUUCAAAUCCCCCCGGCUCCACCA
rfam:Pseudomonas sp. FeS53a scaffold31.1, whole genome shotgun sequence.